CCUACGGGUGGCUGCAGUGGGGAAUUUUGGACAAUGGGGGCAACCCUGAUCCAGCCAUGCCGCGUGCGGGAAGAAGGCCUUCGGGUUGUAAACCGCUUUUGUCAGGAGAGAAAUCUCUUGGGCUAAUACCCUGAGAGGAUGACGGUACCUGAAGAAUAAGCACCGGCUAACUACGUGCCAGCAGCCGCGGUAAUACGUAGGGUGCAAGCGUUACGCGGAAUUACUGGGCGUGGAGCUUCAACAGGGGUGUGAAAUCCCCGGGCUUAACCUGGGAACUGCACUUGUGACUGCACGGCUAGAGUACGGCAGAGGGGGAUGGAAUUCCGCGUGUAGCAGUGAAAUGCGUAGAUAUGCGGAGGAACACCGAUGGCGAAGGCAGUCCCCUGGGCCUGUACUGACGCUCAUGCACGAAAGCGUGGGGAGCAAACAGGAUUAGAUACCCUGGUAGUC
rnacentral:rRNA from 1 species